UACGUAGGGGGCAAGCGUUGUCCGGAAUAAUUGGGAGUAAAGUGUGUGUAGGCGGCUUGAUAAGUUUGUUGUGAAAGUCCAGGGCUCAACCCUGGGAUGCCGGUGGAUACUGUCGAGCUCGAGUCCGGAAGAGGCGAGUGGAAUUCCUGGUGUAGCGGUGAAAUGCGCAGAUAUCAGGAGGAACACCAAUGGCGAAGGCAGCUCGCUGGGACGUGACUGACGCUGAGACGCGAAAGCGUGGGGAGCAAACAGG
rnacentral:rRNA from 1 species